rnacentral:lncRNA from 1 species
CUACGACCCAGAUACACCUCAUGACUGUUUUGAACAGAUGAAAAUGGAAACAACACAUCUACCAACUGUGCAUGAAGACCCAUUGGUAGAUCCCGAUCUCACCCUGUUUGUGGACGGCUCAAGAUAUGCUGAUGAAGAAAGAAGAUACCAUACAGGAUAUGCCGUAACCACAACAGAUGAAAUUGUCAAAUCAUCAUCUUUACCAUCAACUAUGUCUGCACAAGAAGCUGAAUUGCAAGCCCUGACUUCAGCAUGCAAGAUCUCUGAAGGAAAGCGCGCCAAUAUCUACACGGAUUCAAGAUAUGUACUGGGCGUGGCUCACGACUUCGGAUUAAUUUGGAAAACAAGAGGAUUUCUUACCACCGCCGGUACACCAAUCAAGCACGGUUCCGCGAUCAAGGAGCUGAUGGACGCCCUCCUACUCCCAGAAGAAGUGGCUAUUUUGAAGAUAAAAGCACCUGGGAAGUUGGACUCAGAUGAAGCAAAGGGCAACCAUCUAGCUGAUCAGGCUGCAAAACAAGCUGCACAAGAACCACAGGAAGUGGAAAGAAGAGUGUCCGGAAAUGAAGAAACUCCCAUAUUUACUCUGCAGACUCUUCCAACUGACCUGAAAAUCCUGCUGGAACAACAGGCUACAGUUGCCCCUGAAGAAAUACAGAAGUGGAAACAGAAAGGGGCAGUUCUGAAG